rnacentral:rRNA from 1 species
GUCUACGGCCAUACCACCCUGAACACGCCCAAUCUCAUCUGAUCUCAGAAGCUAAGCAGGGUUGGACCUGGAUAGUACUUGGAUGGGAGAAAAUAGUAGCUAAUUGGUUGUCCUGCAAC